UCACACUAGUGUUGAAUUCAAAUGGCAGAUCGCGAGCGCUCGGCCAGAUCACGAACGGAGCGCGUCGCUCCGACUCGGAGCGCUCCCACCAGCUCGCACCAAAUCUGCGAAUGGAAUGCAUGCGC
rnacentral:lncRNA from 1 species